CCCACGCCGCCACCGCCGCCCCGGAGCGGCCCUGACCCCUGACUCCCGCAUUCCUCCGUCUGUGCCCCCCCUCCAACGCACACCCCUUUCUCGUCUUUUUAUUUUUCAUCCUGAUGUUUUUUAAGUAUGCUCUCUAUGAAUAGAGAGAGUGCCUAUUUACUCUGAAAUAUUUGGCACAGCGGAUGGAGUCUGAAGCAUGGAAGAAGUGGCUAUUAUUUUCCCACUGCCUGUGUGCAGCUGUCAUUUCUGAGCAACACGCUCCUCGCACAUCCCUGCUUCCCAACCUCGCUGAUGGUGCUACCCAGGAUUACAAGAAGAGGGGACUGGCAUGUUACUGCACUCAGCCAAAACCUUAACGUUAUAGGUUGUAUUUGAACACAGGACCUAAGCAUUAUGUCUUGUAUUAAAUCACAGCAGAGAACUG